rnacentral:rRNA from 1 species
AGUCUCUGCUUUUAACUAGAUAGCAACUUUCAGCAGUGGAUGUCUAGGCUCGCACAUCGAUGAAGAACGCUGCGAACUGCGAUACGUAAUGCGAAUUGCAGGAUUCAGUGAGUCAUCGAAAUUUUGAACGCAUAUUGCACUUUCGGGUUCUGCCUGGAAGUAUGUCUGUAUCAGUGUCCGUACACUAAACUUGCCUUUCUUGCGUCGUGUAGUCGUCGCUAGGAAUGCGCAGAUGUGAGGUUUUGUCUUGCUCUGGCUCGAAUUCGUUGGGCAGGAGCAAGUCCCUUUAAAGUCGGACGUGUUUUCUCUCUGCGGUGUGCUGUGUCGGCGCUGGCGGCGCGUGGGACUCUCUUGUCUGUUGACGAGUCUGGCGACCUUUGGCUCGUGCAUUGCGGGGUGUGCUCGAUUGGCGGUAUGUUAGGCUUCGGCU